UUGGUUAAGUUAGAAAGGGCGCACGGUGGAUGCCUUGGCACUAGGAGCCGAAGAAGGACGGGACUAACACCGAUAUGCUUUGGGGAGCUGUACGUAAGCGUUGAUCCAGAGAUUUCCGAAUGGGGGAACCCACUAUCUUUAGUCGGAUAGUAUCCUUACGUGAAUACAUAGCGUGAGGAAGGCAGACCCAGGGAACUGAAACAUCUAAGUACCUGGAGGAAGAGAAAGAAAAAUCGAUUUCCUGAGUAGCGGCGAGCGAAACGGAAAGAGCCCAAACCAAGAAGCUUGCUUCUUGGGGUUGUAGGACACUCUAUACGGAGUUACAAAAGAAAGUUAUAAAUGAAGCGGUCUGGAAAGGCCCGCCAAAGACGGUAACAGCCCGGUAGUUGAAAUGGCUUUCCCUCCAGAGUGGAUCCUGAGUACGGCGGAACACGUGAAAUUCCGUCGGAAUCCGGGAGGACCAUCUCCCAAGGCUAAAUACUCCCUAGUGACCGAUAGUGAACCAGUACCGUGAGGGAAAGGUGAAAAGCACCCCGGAAGGGGAGUGAAACAGUUCCUGAAACCGUGUGCCUACAAGUAGUUAGAGCCCGUUAAUGGGUGAUAGCGUGCCUUUUGUAGAAUGAACCGGCGAGUUACGAUUUGUUGCAAGGUUAAGCGGAAAAAGCGGAGCCGUAGCGAAAGCGAGUCUGAAUAGGGCGCAUAAGUAACAGGUCGUAGACCCGAAACCAGGUGAUCUACCCAUGUCCAGGAUGAAGGUAAGGUAAUACUUACUGGAGGUCCGAACCCACGCACGUUGAAAAGUGCGGGGAUGAGGUGUGGGUAGCGGAGAAAUUCCAAUCGAACUUGGAGAUAGCUG
rnacentral:rRNA from 1 species